rnacentral:rRNA from 1 species
UACAGAGGUCCCAAGCGUUGUUCGGAUUCAUUGGGCGUAAAGGGUGCGUAGGCGGCGCGGUAAGUCGGGUGUGAAAUCUCGGAGCUUAACUCCGAAACUGCAUUCGAUACUGCCGGGCUUGAGGACUGGAGAGGAGACUGGAAUUUACGGUGUAGCGGUGAAAUGCGUAGAUAUCGUAAGGAAGACCAGUGGCGAAGGCGGGUCUCUGGACAGUUCCUGACGCUGAGGCACGAAGGCCAGGGGAGCAAACGGG